UACGAAGGGGGCUAGCGUUGCUCGGAAUCACUGGGCGUAAAGGGUGCGUAGGCGGGUUUUUAAGUCAGGGGUGAAAUCCUGGAGCUCAACUCCAGAACUGCCUUUGAUACUGAAGAUCUUGAGUUCGGGAGAGGUGAGUGGAACUGCGAGUGUAGAGGUGAAAUUCGUAGAUAUUCGCAAGAACACCAGUGGCGAAGGCGGCGCACUGGCCCGAUACUGACGCUGAGGCACGAAAGCGUGGGGAGCAAACAGG
rnacentral:rRNA from 1 species